UUGAAACACCGUUUCUCGUAAGAUCAUCGAAGUUAAGCAAAGUCGAGCCUGGUCAGUAACUAGAUCGGUGACCUCUUUGGAAUAACAGAUGCUGUA